CUCCUGGUAUGAAAACCAAUUGAGGCAGAGCCCUCCGUAAACUCGGACAGGGAUUGCAAUCUCUAGAAGAGUAUGCAUUGGAGUUCUAUUCACUUGCUCCAGCAAUUAGGUGGAACAAUGAAGCCUUGUCGGGUGUUUUCAUGUAAAGCUUGUAAUUAGUUAUCCAAGAUGAGGUAGCUGCUAGGGAUCUCCCUAAGGAUCUAAAAGACC